rnacentral:rRNA from 1 species
GACGAACGCUGGCGGCGUGCUUAACACAUGCAAGUCGAACGGAAAGGCCCUGCUUUUGUGGGGUGCUCGAGUGGCGAACGGGUGAGUAACACGUGAGUAACCUGCCCUUGACUUUGGGAUAACUUUAGGAAACUGGGGCUAAUACCGGAUAGGAGCUCCUGCUGCAUGGUGGGGGUUGGAAAGUGUCGGCGGUUGGGGCUGGACUCGCGGCUUAUCAGCUUGUUGGUGGGGUAGUUGCUUACCAAGGCUUUGACGGGUAGGCGGCCUGAGAGGGUGACCGGCGACAUUGGGACUGAGAUACGGCCCAGACUGCUACGGGAGGCAGCAGUGGGGAAUAUUGCAGAACGGGCGGAAGCGUGAUGCAGCAACGCCGCGUGCGGGAUGACGGCCUUCGGGUUGUAAACCGCUUUCGAAUGUGACGAAGCGUGAGUGACGGUAAUGGGUAAAGAAGCAACGGCUAACUACGUG